rnacentral:rRNA from 1 species
UACGUAGGGCGCAAGCUUUGUCCGGAAUUAUUGGGCGUAAAGAGCUCGUAGGCGGUCUGUUACGUCCGCUGUGAAAUCCCAGGGCUUAACCCUGGGCUUGCAGUGGAUACGGGCAGACUAGAGGCAGGUAGGGGAGAAUGGAAUUCCCGGUGUAGCGGUGAAAUGCGCAGAUAUCGGGAGGAACACCGGUGGCGAAGGCGGUUCUCUGGGCCUGACCUGACGCUGAGGAGCGAAAGCGUGGGGAGCGAACAGG